AUUUGGAAGUGCUCGCAAGAGAACUGGAACACAGGUGCUGCAUGGCUGUCGUCAGCUCGUGUCGUGAGAUGUUGGGUUAAGUCCCGCAACGAGCGCAACCCUUGUCAUUAGUUGCUACGAAAGGGCACUCUAAUGAGACUGCCGGUGACAAACCGGAGGAAGGUGGGGAUGACGUCAAGUCCUCAUGGCCCUUAUGGGUAGGGCUUCACACGUCAUACAAUGGUCGGGACAGAGGGUCGCCAACCCGCGAGGGGGAGCCAAUCCCAGAAACCCGAUCGUAGUCCGGAUCGCAGUCUGCAACUCGACUGCGUGAAGUCGGAAUCGCUAGUAAUCGCGGAUCAGCAUGUCGCGGUGAAUACGUUCCCGGGUCUUGUACACACCGA
rnacentral:rRNA from 1 species